ACGUCAACCCAGGUGAUUGCUCCGUAUUUUACGGAGAGGAAAGUCCGAACACCACAGUGUUCCCGCUAAUUUAAGGGAAGGGUAACUCCUAAUUGGAGCCGUUGAUCCGAGUAAUCGGAUCGCAGGACAAGUACAACAGAAAACAAACCCACUUUAAUAAAAUCAUUGAAGAUAGGGGUGAAACGGUGAGGUAAGAGCUCACCAGUAUCUAUGGCAACAUUGAUGGCUAGGUAAACUCUACCCGGUGCAAUACCAAGUAGGUCCGCAUCUUGGCGGACGGGUUGGUAGCUUGAAUCCUGGUGCGAAUCAGGAUCUAGAUAGAUAAUCACCGCCCUGCCUCGCGCAGGGUACAGAAUUCGGCUUAUAAGGUUGAGGUGAGC
rfam:Parcubacteria bacterium GW2011_GWA1_43_27 TV92_C0002, whole genome shotgun sequence.